CUUAACACAUGCAAGUCGAGGGGCAGCAUGGUCUUAGCUUGCUAAGGCCGAUGGCGACCGGCGCACGGGUGAGUAACACGUAUCCAACCUGCCGUCUACUCUUGGACAGCCUUCUGAAAGGAAGAUUAAUACAAGAUGGCAUCAUGAGUCCGCAUGUUCACAUGAUUAAAGGUAUUCCGGUAGACGAUGGGGAUGCGUUCCAUUAGAUAGUAGGCGGGGUAACGGCCCACCUAGUCUUCGAUGGAUAGGGGUUCUGAGAGGAAGGUCCCCCACAUUGGAACUGAGACACGGUCCAAACUCCUACGGGAGGCAGCAGUGAGGAAUAUUGGUCAAUGGGCGAGAGCCUGAACCAGCCAAGUAGCGUGAAGGAUGACUGCCCUAUGGGUUGUAAACUUCUUUUAUAAAGGAAUAAAGUCGGGUAUGGAUACCCGUUUGCAUGUACUUUAUGAAUAAGGAUCGGCUAACUCCGUGCCAGCAGCCGCGGUAAUACGGAGGAUCCGAGCGUUAUCCGGAUUUAUUGGGUUUAAAGGGAGCGUAGAUGGAUGUUUAAGUCAGUUGUGAAAGUUUGCGGCUCAACCGUAAAAUUGCAGUUGAUACUGGAUAUCUUGAGUGCAGUUGAGGCAGGCGGAAUUCGUGGUGUAGCGGUGAAAUGCUUAGAUAUCACGAAGAACUCCGAUUGCGAAGGCAGCCUGCUAAGCUGCAACUGACAUUGAGGCUCGAAAGUGUGGGUAUCAAACAGGAUUAGAUACCCUGGUAGUCCACACGGUAAACGAUGAAUACUCGCUGUUUGCGAUAUACUGCAAGCGGCCAAGCGAAAGCGUUAAGUAUUCCACCUGGGGAGUACGCCGGCAACGGUGAAACUCAAAGGAAUUGACGGGGGCCCGCACAAGCGGAGGAACAUGUGGUUUAAUUCGAUGAUACGCGAGGAACCUUACCCGGGCUUAAAUUGCAGAUGAAUUACGGUGAAAGCCGUAAGCCGCAAGGCAUCUGUGAAGGUACUGCAUGGUUGUCGUCAGCUCGUGCCGUGAGGUGUCGGCUUAAGUGCCAUAACGAGCGCAACCCUUGUUGUCAGUUACUAACAGGUUCCGCUGAGGACUCUGACAAGACUGCCAUCGUAAGAUGUGAGGAAGGUGGGGAUGACGUCAAAUCAGCACGGCCCUUACGUCCGGGGCUACACACGUGUUACAAUGGGGGGUACAGAGGGCCGCUACCACGCGAGUGGAUGCCAAUCCCCAAAACCUCUCUCAGUUCGGACUGGAGUCUGCAACCCGACUCCACGAAGCUGGAUUCGCUAGUAAUCGCGCAUCAGCCACGGCGCGGUGAAUACGUUCCCGGGCCUUGUACACACCGCCCGUCAAGCCAUGGGAGCCGGGGGUACCUGAAGUGCGUAACCGCGAGGAGCGCCCUAGGGUAAAACUGGUGACUGGGGCUAA
rnacentral:rRNA from 1 species